GGCACUUUGGCCGAGUGGUCUAAGGCGCCGUGUUCAGGUCAACCUUCGACAUCAGUCGAAGGUCGCCAUUCGCGGUCUAGAAAUAGGCGAGGGUUCGAAUCCCUCAGGUGUCA
rnacentral:tRNA from 1 species